GUGUCUGUAGCACAAUGGAUAGUGCAUUGGACUUCCGUUCCUAAGGGCGUGAGUUCGAGCCUCACCUGGUAUG